GGCGCCCGCGGCCCCGACCGCCGACCGGCCGCGCCCCCGCCCCCCGACCCCGGCGGCCCCCGACCCCCGGCGCCCUCGCCCUCGCUUGUUGGGAAGAUCAGAGCAGCCUCUGAGGAUGCAUUAGAAGUGGAGAAGACUACGAGAAAAUGGUUGUCGAUAAUGAACAAAGAUUGCAAUCGCUUUUGUAAAAUACUGAGCCUAGCAAAGAAGAACGUUGUUUCACAUCCUGAAGCGCCACGGAAACAAAGAAAGAUAAGUUUUGCAGAUGAAACUGGAGGAAUGCUCUGCCAUGUUAAGGUUUUUAAGGAUGGACAAACCAAUCUUCUUUCUGAAUGCCAGAGUGAUUUAUAAACGUACUAAGAGUCUGUUGGCACCAAGAAAUUUGAUCGAGAAAAGCAAGCUUGCUGACAAUAGAAUCAAACAAGCCGCUUAGUUGAACCAAAACAACUGGAGAAAGCUUCCAUUCACUGUAGAACACAAAUAUAGGAGCUAGUGCAUGUUGAAUGCACAGUCUGUAAUUUGCUGUAAAGUGAUUGAUGGCAUUGUUGUGGCAACUCAGGCAUUGUAUUAUCCUUGUAUGUUUAGAUCAAGAGUCCAUGUAAAUCGGCGGUUAUCAGAAUUGUUUGUUGAGAAGACUACAACUAAUCUGUAAACAAGAAUUGACCCA